GGAGUGUAGUCACCCUUCAUCCCUACAGCCAUCUGGGGUAAAAUGCUGGCUUUGGGCUCCAUGAGGAAGAGCUACAAACAGAGGCUGUGGAGCACUAGGCACACAUUACUGAAGUUUAAGCACAACUGUUGAAACUUUUCUUUCAGUACGGCUAAGAGGUACUACCUUGACAUUAUUGGUUCACCAGCAGAGCAGAACUGCCCCAGACAUCAAUAAUAAUUCAGCGCAUUAGGACAAGACCUAUACACAGCCCACAGAUGUAGCUGAGUUGUGUGCAGGCUGCAGCACUCCUUGCUGAUAGGGAAAAGGAGGAAAAAAAAUCUCUGCAGUCAAAAGUGUUUUGGUCGCUGGAUAAUUUUGCAGUACAAAGGUCGUG
rnacentral:lncRNA from 12 species